CACGCUGUAAACGAUGUCAACUGGGUGUCGGUAGUUUUACACUAUCGGUGCCGAAGCCAACGCGUUAAGUUGACCGCCUGGGGACUACGGCCGCAAGGCUAAAACUCAAAGGAAUUGACGGGGGCCCGCACAAGCAGCGGAGCGUGUGGUUUAAUUCGAUGCAACACGAAGAACCUUACCCAGGUUUGACAUGGUCGUAGUAGUGAACCGAAAGGGGAACGAGCCUUCGGGCAGCGAUCACAGGUGC
rnacentral:rRNA from 1 species